rnacentral:lncRNA from 1 species
AGGUCUAGAUAUGUAUAUCUGAAUUAGAUUAAUCUUUGGAUCUACUUUAGGCCUUUGAUGGCAAAGAGAUUGAUACGGGUAGGAAAUUCUUUCCUCGGAUAAAACCAUGGACGAGGUUCAAUCUUGAUGAUGAUUGACUGAAGAUGAUAUUUCAGAAAAAUAAUAUAUUUGAUUUAUAUCAGUUAAAAAAUUUCAAAAUUUGUAUGAUAAUCUAUCACCAGUG